GAGUGCGGGACAUGGAUAGAUGGCAAGGUGGAUGAGGGAGUAAUUUGGGUUUAUUAUCGUUGCCGCCUAAUUACAUUUAUUCCCAACUUGGAGUAUGUCGCAGAAACGGCAACCUGAAGAUGGAAAGGAAGGCAACAGUACCGGUGGUGAGAAACGUCAACGCGGAGCUUCCUUGAGAAGUGUGAUGCUAGAAGCGGUGAAGAUGCAUGAUGUUCAGAAGAUUUUGGAACCUUUGGUCCGUAAAAUAGUAAGUGCUUCCCCCAAAUACUUUGCUGCAGCUAUGAAUCCGACAUACAUUUUAACAAUUUCAGUAAACUUGAGCUGCAGAUUGUAGUCCAAUUGCUACAUCUUCUCGGUUAAAUGAUAAAUCAACUAGGGAGAAGUUUCGUUAUAAAACUGUUUCAGUUAAUAGAUUUGUUUAUAUUGCCAAGCUUUUGUGUGGUGGGGAAAGUUGGGGCCUCUGGGUCAUGCUGAAUUAUUUUGUAAAACUGUUCAAUAAGAGGUCUUUCUUGAGCAUGAUUAAUUAUUAUUAUUGUUGUUUUUGUUAUUAAUAUUAUUUUUGUUAUCAUUUAUGCAUGCUCCUUUUUUUUUUUUCGUAAUAUUCAUCUACUGUGAGAAUAGUUGAAGUUUUUUUAUAAGGAAGAAAUAUAUCAUGAAAUUUAAGAUGAGGCUUGUAUCUAGCUCGCAUUGUUUGAAAAGUAAUUCAUGGUUCCUUUUGUGAUUUCAAUCAGUAUAUAACUGGUAUCUCAUUGAGUCUCAUCUGAACUUUCUAUGGGCGGUCAUUGGGCUCAAAAAUCACUAAGCUCACAUUAUCUGAGAACUUAUUAAUUAAUAAGUAGAGGAUUUCAAUUGCUAUGCAACUGGUAUUUCAUUGAGUCUCAUCUGUACUUGGAAUGGGUGGUCAUUGGGCACAAAAAAUGCUAAGGGUCCCUUUGCCAUGGGUUCUAAGAAACUAUAUCUGCUGUUGUUUAUCAGAAGAAAUUUUAGAACAGUUUUUGGGCUAGAAAGAAGAAUAAUUUCAUUGCUAAUUUGAUACAGUGGUAUAGGAUGAGGAUUGUUUGGAUUGCCCUUCCUAUUUCUUAUUCCUUUUUGAGCUCUAAAACAUUGCAAAAUCUUCUCUGUAUUUAUCCUAAUGCCCUUAAUGUAGCUUGGCCAAACUUGAAUGCUUGGGCAUCAACCAGGGGAACCAGCAAACCUUAGUAAUCCUGCAAGAGAGAGAUUGAACAGACCUGUGCUGUGCUGAAUGGUUUCUCUUGUGAAAAGGGUUACGACUCUAAUUCACCCCCACCCCCAGCCCCCCCAAAAAACUCUUAGCAGGGGAAGGGGGGUACCUGAAAUGGUCGAAUCAGUCAAGCUUCCGUGGUGAAUUGGCAUGUGCUCUCAUUCUUGUUUUGUUUGAUCUUGUUAAUCAUGUUGAAUUGGCCUAAAUAUCCCCAGAUGUGGGGAAUGGUUCUCUGUCUUUCUCAGAACAAACUAAAAGCUUGGUUUGAUUUGAUCAGAAAUUCCAUUUUUCAGGAAGGGAAAUAGGGACUAAAAAGUUAUGUUAAACCUUGUUUCUUAAGUUGGACUAGUCCCUAUGCUAGGAAUGAUUUAUGAGAAAAGUGGUCGUUCUAGCCUAACUCAGCAAAGAUCCCACCAAGCAUACAUGAGGAUUUAGGAGUCAUGUAGAACGAAAUUUUUUCAACCAACGGUCACAAAAUGGGGAAAAGGAAGGCUAUUCAAUUGGUGGUAGUUUAUCUUGUUCAGGUCGAGAGGAGGGUUGUAGCUUUUUAUGAGACAAUUAAUGCAUAUACAAGUGUUUUGGCCAUAGCUUGGUCUGACUAAUGAUGAUGAUUGGCAUAAGUUGUCUCCAACAAUGAUGAUGUAUUUGUGUUCUAAUGAGCAUUAAUGGUUUGCUUUGUUGGUUAUUCUCAAGCCAUGACUAUGAUUGUUUAAGUCUUUAAAGAGCUGGAAGGCCAGGUUUAGCUGGCAGGGCUCUUUCCUCCCGUAAAAAAGGAAAUGAACGCUCCUUGGUUGUGCGGCCAUGAACCCAGUGGACAAGAAAACUCAUCCUGUUGAUUCCAUGUAACAAAUAGUUGUCAAGUUUUUAUCCAGUGGAUUCAUGCUUUUAUAGUUGUCAGAAGAAUAUAUGUAGGUAUACCAUUAAAAUAUGACAUAUUCCAAAGGUGUUUGUCACUUCCAAUAAUUGUUAAAAUUUUCGAUUUCUCUACUGAAUGAGUUUAAAACUGUGUUCAAAUGAUUCCACUCGAGUUUAAACCUAGGGGUUCUCUCUUUUUCUACUUAAUUUCCGAUAAAGUGGAAUUGAAAGCUUAGCGUACGCACAACCCAUUUAAGAAAUCUAAAUAGAAGAAUUUAUAGGGGGAAAAUGAAUCUUGGAUUUGUGAAGUCAUCUAGAAAAAAAUGUUUUGGAUCUUUAAUCAUAAUAUAAAUGAGGAGAAAGUUGGGGGGAGAAGGAGAGGUCAUUACCUGCCCAUAUUUUGUCAGGAACUUGUUGGCAAGGUUCAAGGAUGUGAUUGCCACAUCCUCAUUUGCCUUGAGUGGUUGGGGAAUUGCAAAUGCCCAUUUAUCCUAUUAAAGCAUGUUUAAAGAAGUAUGUGCACUGGGUUUUUCUUUGUACAUAUUUUAACUGGAUAAAUGAGCAUUUGCUAUUUUUUAAGCACUGUACAUAAAUGAGGAUCCUUGAACCUUGCCAUAUUCCUUAUGAAGUAUGUGCAGGUCAUUUCCCUUCCAACUUUUUCUUCUCAUUUUAUGUUAUGAUUAAGACCGAAUAACUGAUAUCAUGAUAACAUUACAGAGUGCUAUGACAUAUGCAAAAGACCUUGUAUAUGAGAUUAAUGGCAAAGAGGUCAUCAUUUUUUCUCAAGACAACUUCACAAAUCCAAGGUUCAUUUUUUUUACCUUUCAAAUCUUUUUGUUUAAAUUCUUGAAAUGAGUCCAUACGUAUUGUUUUUCAGUUCUAAUUCUCCUAGCAAUUAAGUAGAAAAAGAACUCUGGACAGAAUUGAGAAAAGAAAUUAAUUAAAUACCUGUAACAGUAGAUCAGAUCUAGAACACCUUGAGUAUGGAAGAAAAGAGAGAUAUAACUAGAAGAGAACCUCUUGGGCUUCACACAUCAAAGAGUCAAUUAGAUCAAACACCAAUCCCAUUAGCCUUGAUCAAACACAAGACAAAUCUCCAUAUAGAAGACAAUAGCAACAUCCAUUAAUUUGUUUAUCAGAAGGAAUCUGUAAACAGGGAAGUCUUGUAGUUAAUUGCUUCAGACCAUGUGCCACGUCAAUAACACUCAGCCACAUCAAGUACCAGCCCCUCUUCUCCAGACCGUUGAUUCUGCUUGGGAACUUCACCAGAACGGUCGUCUUCCUUGUCCGCGUCUCAUCCCUCUCAUGGAUGCCUAUGACGAUUGGCUCAUUGACAAGGCAGCAUUCUACCCGUACAGCAGCUCUUCAGACCCCGAUACUGAUUGAGUAUGUAUGUAUUGAGUAUGUAUUGAGUAUGUUGUAUUGAGUAUGUUUUGAUUAGGUAUUGAUUAGGUAUUAAGUCCAUUGAGUAUGUAUGUUUGUAUGCCGACACAUGUAUGUAUGUAUGCCGACACUCCCGACAUACGGUCCCACAAGCAUGUGAAGUCCAUGAGAAGGACACAUGGCUUGGGUCCCACAUGUCUUCCCUUAUCCUUUGUAUCCCUUGGCUAUUUAAAGCCCCUCAGUUAAUGGAUUU